rnacentral:rRNA from 1 species
AGAGUUUGAUCCUGGCUCAGGAUGAACGCUAGCUACAGGCUUAACACAUGCAAGUCGAGGGGCAGCAUGGCCUAGCAAUAGGUUGAUGGCGACCGGCGCACGGGUGAGUAACACGUAUCCAACCUACCGGUUAUUCCGGGAUAGCCUUUCGAAAGAAAGAUUAAUACCGGAUAGUAUAGCGAGAAGGCAUCUUCUUGUUAUUAAGAAUUUCGAUAACCGAUGGGGAUGCGUUCCAUUAGUUUGUUGGCGGGUAACGGCCCACCAAGACAUCGAUGGAUAGGGGUUCUGAGAGGAAGGUCCCCCACAUUGGAACUGAGACACGGUCCAAACUCCUACGGGAGGCAGCAGUGAGGAAUAUUGGUCAAUGGACGAGAGUCUGAACCAGCCAAGUAGCGUGAAAAGGAUGACUGCCCUAUGGGUUGUAAACUUCUUUUAUAUGGGAAUAAAGUGAGCCACGUGUGGCUUUUUGUAUGUACCAUACGAAUAAGGAUCGGCUAACUCCGUGCCAGCAGCUGC